rnacentral:rRNA from 1 species
UUUUCGCAAUGCCCGAAAGGGUGACGAAGCGACGCCGCGUGGGUGAAGAAGGCCUUCGGGUUGUAAAACCCUGUCAGGAGUUAUGAAAUGUAAGUGCGCUAAUAUCGUGCUUAUUUGACAAAGGCUCCAAAGGAAGCCACGGCUAACUCUGUGCCAGCAGCCGCGGUAAUACAGAGGUGGCGAGCGUUGUUCGGAAUUAUUGGGCGUAAAGAGCACGUAGGUGGGUUUGCAAGUCAGAUGUGAAAGCCUUCUGUUCAACGGAAGAAUUGCAUCUGAAACUGCUGAUCUUGAGUAUAGGAGGGGAGAAUGGAACUUCUGGUGGAGCGGUGAAAUGCGUAGAUAUCAGAAGGAACGCCGGCGGCGAAAGCGAUUCUCUGGCCUAUUACUGACACUCAGUGUGCGAAAGCUAGGGGAGCAAACGGGAUUAGAUACCCCGGUAGUCCUAGCCGUAAACAAUGGGCACUAAGUAGAGGGGUUUUAAUC